rnacentral:rRNA from 1 species
AGCUGCAUGGGCGAAGCCUGAUGCAGCGACGCCGCGUGAGGGAUGACGGCCUUCGGGUUGUAAACCUCUUUCAGUAGGGAAGAAGCGAAAGUGACGGUACCUGCAGAAGAAGCGCCGGCUAACUACGUGCCAGCAGCCGCGGUAAUACGUAGGGCGCAAGCGUUAUCCGGAAUUAUUGGGCGUAAAGAGCUCGUAGGCGGUUUGUCGCGUCUGCCGUGAAAGUCCGGGGCUCAACUCCGGAUCUGCGGUGGGUACGGGCAGACUUGAGUGCAGUAGGGGAGACUGGAAUUCCUGGUGUAGCGGUGAAAUGCGCAAAUAUCAGGAGGAACACCGAUGGCGAAGGCAGGUCUCUGGGCUGUAACUGACGCUGAGGAGCGAAAGCAUGGGGAGCGAACAGGAUUAGAUACCCUGGUAGUCCAUGCCGUAAACGUUGGGCACUAGGUGUGGGGGACAUUCCACGUUUUCCGCGCCGUAGCUAACGCAUUAAGUGCCCCGCCUGGGGAGUACGGCCGCAAGGCUAAAACUCAAUGAAAAUUGACGGA